rnacentral:rRNA from 1 species
CUUCGGGGUCAGCGGCGGACGGGUGAGUAACGCGUGGGAACGUGCCCUUCUGGUUCGGAAUAACCCUGGGAAACUAGGGCUAAUACCGGAUACGCCCUUUUGGGGAAAGGUUUACUGCCGGAAGAUCGGCCCGCGUCUGAUUAGCUAGUUGGUGGGGUAACGGCCUACCAAGGCGACGAUCAGUAGCUGGUCUGAGAGGAUGAUCAGCCACACUGGGACUGAGACACGGCCCAGACUCUACGGGAGGCAGCAGUGGGGAAUAUUGGACAAUGGGCGCAAGCCUGAUCCAGCCAUGCCGCGUGAGUGAUGAAGGCCUUAGGGUUGUAAAGCUCUUUUAUCCGGGACGAUAAUGACGGUACCGGAGGAAUAAGCCCCGGCUAACUUCGUGCCAGCAGCCGCGGUAAUACGAAGGGGGCUAGCGUUGCUCGGAAUCACUGGGCGUAAAGGGCGCGUAGGCGGCGUUUUAAGUCGGGGGUGAAAGCCUGUGGCUCAACCACAGAAUGGCCUUCGAUACUGGGACGCUUGAGUAUGGUAGAGGUUGGUGGAACUGCGAGUGUAGAGGUGAAAUUCGUAGAUAUUCGCAAGAACACCGGUGGCGAAGGCGGCCAACUGGACCAUUACUGACGCUGAGGCGCGAAAGCGUGGGGAGCAAACAGGAUUAGAUACCCUGGUAGUCCACGCCGUAACGAUGAAUGCCG